GGGUUGUGAGGUUAAGCGACUAAGCGUACACGGUGGAUGCCCUGGCAGUCAGAGGCGAUGAAGGACGUGCUAAUCUGCGAUAAGCGUCGGUAAGGUGAUAUGAACCGUUAUAACCGGCGAUUUCCGAAUGGGGAAACCCAGUGUGUUUCGACACACUAUCAUUAACUGAAUCCAUAGGUUAAUGAGGCGAACCGGGGGAACUGAAACAUCUAAGUACCCCGAGGAAAAGAAAUC
rnacentral:rRNA from 2 species